UACGUAGGGUGCGAGCGUUAAUCGGAAUUAUUGGGCGUAAAGCGCGCGUAGGCGGUUAUCUAAGUCGGAUGUGAAAGCCCUCGGCUUAACUGAGGAAGUGCACCCGAAACUGGAUAGCUAGAGUACGAAAGAGGGUCGCGGAAUUCCCGGUGUAGAGGUGAAAUUCGUAGAUAUCGGGAGGAACACCGGUGGCGAAGGCGGCGACCUGGGUCGAGACUGACGCUGAGGCGCGAAAGCGUGGGGAGCAAACAGG
rnacentral:rRNA from 1 species